GACGAACGCUGGCGGCGUGCCUAAUACAUGCAAGUAGAACGCUGAAGGAGGAGCUUGCUCUUCUGGAUGAGUUGCGAACGGGUGAGUAACGCGUAGGUAACCUGCCUGGUAGCGGGGGAUAACUAUUGGAAACGAUAGCUAAUACCGCAUAAGAGUAGAUGUUGCAUGACAUUUGCUUAAAAGGUGCAAUUGCAUCACUACCAGAUGGACCUGCGUUGUAUUAGCUAGUUGGUGGGGUAACGGCUCACCAAGGCGACGAUACAUAGCCGACCUGAGAGGGUGAUCGGCCACACUGGGACUGAGACACGGCCCAGACUCCUACGGGAGGCAGCAGUAGGGAAUCUUCGGCAAUGGACGGAAGUCUGACCGAGCAACGCCGCGUGAGUGAAGAAGGUUUUCGGAUCGUAAAGCUCUGUUGUAAGAGAAGAACGAGUGUGAGAGUGGAAAGUUCACACUGUGACGUAUCUACCAGAAAGGACGCA
rnacentral:rRNA from 1 species